ACACAUGCAAGUCGAGCGGUAGCACAGAGAGCUUGCUCUCGGGUGACGAGCGGCGGACGGGUGAGUAAUGUCUGGGAAACUGCCUGAUGGAGGGGGAUAACUACUGGAAACGGUAGCUAAUACCGCAUAACGUCGCAAGACCAAAGUGGGGGACCUUCGGGCCUCAUGCCAUCAGAUGUGCCCAGAUGGGAUUAGCUAGUAGGUGGGGUAACGGCUCACCUAGGCGACGAUCCCUAGCUGGUCUGAGAGGAUGACCAGCCACACUGGAACUGAGACACGGUCCAGACUCCUACGGGAGGCAGCAGUGGGGAAUAUUGCACAAUGGGCGCAAGCCUGAUGCAGCCAUGCCGCGUGUGUGAAGAAGGCCUUCGGGUUGUAAAGCACUUUCAGCGGGGAGGAAGGCGUUAAGGUUAAUAACCUUGUCGAUUGACGUUACCCGCAGAAGAAGCACCGGCUAACUCCGUGCCAGCAGCCGCGGUAAUACGGAGGGUGCAAGCGUUAAUCGGAAUUACUGGGCGUAAAGCGCACGCAGGCGGUCUGUCAAGUCGGAUGUGAAAUCCCCGGGCUCAACCUGGGAACUGCAUUCGAAACUGGCAGGCUAGAGUCUUGUAGAGGGGGGUAGAAUUCCAGGUGUAGCGGUGAAAUGCGUAGAGAUCUGGAGGAAUACCGGUGGCGAAGGCGGCCCCCUGGACAAAGACUGACGCUCAGGUGCGAAAGCGUGGGGAGCAAACAGGAUUAGAUACCCUGGUAGUCCACGCCGUAAACGAUGUCGAUUUGGAGGUUGUGCCCUUGAGGCGUGGCUUCCGGAGCUAACGCGUUAAAUCGACCGCCUGGGGAGUACGGCCGCAAGGUUAAACUCAAUGAAUUGACGGGGCCCGCACAAGCGGUGGAGCAUGUGGUUUAAUUCGAUGCAACGCGAAGACCUUACCUGGUCUUGACAUCCACAGAA
rnacentral:rRNA from 1 species